ACUCCAUGAAGCUGGAUUCGCUAGUAAUCGCGCAUCAGCCACGGCGCGGUGAAUACGUUCCCGGGCCUUGUACACACCGCCCGUCAAGCCAUGGGAGUCGGGAGUGCCUGAAGUGCGUGAGCGCGAGCAGCGCCCUAGGGCAAAACCGAUGACUGGGCUAAGUCGUAACAAGGUAAC
rnacentral:rRNA from 1 species